UCCCUCUGCCAGGCCGUUCGGGGGCGGCGUGGCAGGGCCGGGGCCGCCGGUGCUCGUCGAGGAGUUUUUUUUCCCUCAGGGCCGACCGGGCGAUUUCUCCCCGCCGAAGGUGGGAGGCAAGAUGGCCUCCUGUGGUGGUUCCCCGGGGGGUGCGCUCCGGGAGACGCUGCGGUGGCCGAUCCCGCGGGGCUGAGUCCCUGGGGAGUGCUGGGCCGUAGAGGGGAGAAGGAGCUCCCGCUAGAUGAAUUGAUAACGUGAGGCAAUGGGACAGAAGGAAAGAUUAAGAUGAGGAGCUUAAUAGCUAAGAAAAUAAACGGCUAUAAGAUCAGAAAGAUAAGCUGAGCCGCGUCCAUCAAGAGAGCAGUGUUUGUGUUGGAUCUGACGCAAAUGGGAUGCUAAUGGCAGUGAAGGAAAGAUGCAGGGAAUCCUGCUUCGUGGAGGAAGGGCCACUCCGGUAAUUCCGUUCAACACUUCCCUUCAGCUGACAAGUCAACCAUGUCACACUGUACCCUGUGAGAAGUCCAUCAUCUGGGAAAAAAACCCAUCCAAUUGGAUUGGAAAGCCCAAGUUCUUUCAGAGGAGCAGCUGAGGGCUUUUGCAGGCACAACAAGCAGCACCAAACUUUAUCUGGAGCUUGUCACCAUGAUUGCUUUACCAGCCAAAUAGGAUGCUGUUGAGUGACACAGUGGACUCCACAACCACCACGGGGAAGUAAACACACCGUCUCUACAUCUUCAAAGCGGGAGAAGAUUCUCUUCUUAAACAGAUUUUGCAACCUGAAAGAGACUUUUAUCUCUGAGAGCUCAGGACAGUUCCAGUGAAGUAGAUCUUCUGGAUAAUUUCUUCAGAUUCUUCAAAGUCUUGAAUGACAAAAAGCCCACGUAUUACUUGAAGAAAUUCUUCCCAAGCUUGUCAUGUGCAAACUCGGACUGGCCAGGCAGACCUGAACACACACCAUUUCCCUGCUGCUUGAGAUCUAACGUCACCGCUGCUGCCGGAGGUGUAACUGCUGCAUCCAAAUAAACAGCUGAAAUCGGUGUCGUCAUGCAGAAACUGAACUCUUUGAUCUAAUUGUUCAGUUAUUGCAAGCCCAGGAUGAAAUGUCUCAAGGGGAAGGCCUUCUCCUAUAGUACUGAGCUAUGGGUUUGGCUCUUCCAGCAGACAGUAUCUCUCUGUUGUGUGAGAGGGAAUGUUAAACAGAAAAUGUAUUUUGAAAAAGGAUGAUACGUGAGAUAACUCAUCAUAAGAAGCGUAGAGAAAGGGAGUAAGUAGUACAGUUGAUCACGUGAAGGUUGAAGAAGCUGUAUCUCUUAAUUUUGGAAAAAAGAGGGAAAGCAAGAAAGUUUUUGUGACUGCUUAGCUCACAAGGGGACGGAAGAGAGCUCUGAACUCAGGAGGGGAUGUGGGUGGGAAGGCAAUGGAAGAAGAAAAAGCUUGUUACCUUAAAAAUAUUACCUAAAAAGGUUUGGAUGCCAACCAAUAACACCACCUCAAAGCUCCCCAAGGAAGCUGUGUGUUGUGUUCUACAGGUCACAUGGGUGAUCUGUAGAGUUGAUCUGGAGGGCACAGGAGCUGAUAUGCACCACUGUCCAUACCAAGCCUCUGAGGUUGGCAGAGUCAGCUCCUGUUUGUCUGUAUGGUGACAGUUCUGACAAAUACCUCUCAGCUACAGCAGCUUUAUCAGCGAGAAGAAUCUGGGCCACCACGCAAAGAGAAUCCUCCCAGUGGUGUGUCAGGCUUGAGGAAGGGUGUGAUUAUCAUUCCAGAGGAGCGUGAUGGGAACCUGUGCCUCCUGUUUGGCUGAGCAGUGGCGAGAUCAAGGAGGCUUCUGCUCUUUGCUCACCUCUUCUCUCUUUAUUUCCUUUCUUUCAGCAAGCAACUUAUCUUCAUAUUAACUUAUUUUGUCAUGUAAGAUGUCCAAAGCAUGAACCAACACCCCAAGGCACUUGGAAAUGGAUCUCCAACUAGACCAUCAGCAAAGUACUACGUAGAGGGGAGUUUCCCAUUUUGGGGUGCUUGGAUGGCAGCUGGCUCUGAUCAGCAUCUUUGAAAACAGUGGGGUGGAUUCUUUCACCAGGCUGAAUCAGCUCUGCCAAGCCUGGUGUUUCAGGACUUCUCCACCAGCCACAGCCGGGGACGCAUAAACCUCUGGUGCCCACAUAAGGGUGACGUGGCACUUCCACAUCUCUGCUUGGACGAGUCUUCCAGAUGGAUGUGGCCUGUUGGGUCACUCCAAGGAAGCAGGCCCUCAUCUCAUGAGAUCAGGUGCCUCAUCUCCCAGGUCUCCUGGAAAAAAGUGUCCUUCCAUGGGAAGGACAAGCAUUUCAAACACCUGAUGGGAGAUCUCCAACCACAUUGGACUGUGCUUCUUUAUGGGUCAUCAUCCAGAAACAAAACAUUCGUGUGUGUCUGGGGCUUUGUUCUGGUCUCACAGGUCCAGUAGCAAUAACAGAGCUGAGCUUAGAACUUAAUACCCGUGAAGAUACAGUUUUUAGAGGCUGACACAGCUCA